AUUGAACGCUGGCGGCAGGUCUAACACAUGCAAGUCGAACGAGUGGCGGACGGGUGAGUAAUGUCUGGGAAACUGCCUGAUGGAGGGGGAUAACUACUGGAAACGGUAGCUAAUACCGCAUACCAUCAGAUGUGCCCAGAUGGGAUUAGCUUGUUGGUGGGGUAACGGCUCACCAAGGCGACGAUCCCUAGCUGGUCUGAGAGGAUGACAAGCCACACUGGAACUAGGACACGGCCCAGACUCCUACGGGAGGAAGCGGGGGGGAAUAUUGAACAAUGGGGGCAAGCCUGAUGCAGCCAGGCCGCGUGUAUGAAGAGGGCCUUCGGGUUGUAAAGUACUUUCAGCGGGGAGACGUUACCCGCAGAAGAAGCACCGGCUAACUCCGUGCCAGCAGCCGCGGUAAAC
rnacentral:rRNA from 1 species